rnacentral:tRNA from 1 species
GCCUCUGUAGUGUAGUCUGGUUAGCAUUCAAGACUGUCACUCUUGAAACCCGGGUUCGAAUCCCGGCGGGGGCGCCA